rnacentral:SRP_RNA from 1 species
CUCGGGCAUGGUGGCACAUGCCUGUAGUCUCAGCUGCUUGGGAGGCUGAGGCAGGAGGAUCGCCUGAAUGUAGGAGUUCUCUAUGGUGAUCAGGUGUUCGUACUAAGUUUGUCAUCAAUAUGGUGACCUCCUGGAGCGGGGAACCACCAGGUUGCCUAAGGAGGGGUGAGCUGUCCCAGGUCAGAAACUGAGCAGGUCAAAACUCAUGGGCUGAUCAGAAAGUUAAAUUAUCUUUUCUUAACCUCAGUUUCCUCAUGUGGAAAAUGAAACCUACCUCU